AGGACGAACGCUGGCGGCGUGCUUAACACAUGCAAGUCGAACGGUAAGGCCCCUUCGGGGGUACACGAGUGGCGAACGGGUGAGUAACACGUGAGCAACCUGCCCUUGACAUUGGAAUAACAGUUGGAAACAGCUGCUAAUACCGGGUAUGACCUUUCAUCGCAUGGUGGGGGGUGGAAAGCCUUGGCGGUCAAGGAUGGGCUCGCGGCCUAUCAGCUAGUGGUGAGGUAAUGGCUCACCAAGGCUUCGACGGGUA
rnacentral:rRNA from 1 species